ensembl:lncRNA
GUACACAUGAGCCUUUAUUUGCCACUGACUAGUUGUGUCAUUUGGGGGAAGUCAUCUCUCACUUGUAUAAUGAGACAAUCUCUUUCAAACCCAUCUGUUCCCUAAGCAGAACUCUGGAAGGCUGACCUCACUCUACAGCAUGUGAUAGAUAUGUGCACUCCAGACACACAAUCUGUGAUGCCUGAGACGUCCUGAUGCAUGUCUGUAGCUUGUUGUCCUACAUGUUUGCAGUUUCAUUGAAGGGCUUUCUCUAUUUUCUUUCCUCCAAUGGACACGAAUUUUCUAGUCUCUGACAACAGGCAUCCUCAAAUAGCACAGUGAAGAAGGCAGGAAACAGGGCAGUAAACCCAAGGCCAGAAAAGAAAAAGAUCAGCAGUCAUAGAAGGAAGAGCUAGUGCUUGACAAGAGGAAUGUGAAACCCAGAAGCCAGCCAGAAAGCAGAACAUGAAGUUAAGUACAGGAAGUCAACUUCGUAAACUGAAGGGCACAAUAGAUCUUUCUUGAUGAUGUUAAUGUUAGGCUGCUCCUUGAAGCAAGAGUCAGCUCAGGCCUCUUAAAGAGUCUGGCAAUUGGUGGAUCUUCAGGAAGUCCAUGUCAUGAGACUUGUCUUCAAACAGAGCGAUUCACAGUCCCAAAUCUGAUGACUCUUCCCAAUCCUCAUUUCACAGAAAUUCUAGUCCUUUCAGCCUUCUUCCUCUCCCUGGAUCCCGCUGGUGCAUAUUACCGCUAAUGGGGCUUCAGGCGUUGCCAACUCUGAAAUGAAGAGCAGAUCCCCCGCGCCGCGUCUGUGGCUUUAAUGAGGAGCCCUGAAUGCGGACGAGAAUCAAACAUGCAUUGAACAUUCCCCGUUCUCAGCCCGUGCUCCCUCCCCCAGCCUCAGCCCCUCCAGAUCCCGGAGCCCAGUGCCAGCAGAAGGCAGGUUGUCUGGGAUGAACUAAAUGGAGCAACUUGACAUCAAUAUUGUUACAGAGCGUGUUAACAAAGGCUCAGCCACAGCAUGAAGACCAGGAAAGAGUGGCACAUGGCAGCACUUACCCACACGGUCCUGGAGAAAUGGUAAUGAGACAUCCCUACGAGAGCUGACCGUUGGACAGUUUAAGACUCUUGGAGACUUUUAUUUAGCUGGACAUGGAUUGUUCUGUCCUAGGAGCUGUUCCCUGCCCCCACCCCACGUGCUCCUCCUCGUCUGGACCACAAUCUCUCUCCCUUUCUCUGGUGACACUGCAGAACACCUCUGAGC